rnacentral:pre_miRNA from 1 species
UUAGUACUCCCUCCGUCCGAAAAUACUUGUCAUUAAAAUGUAUAAAAAAGAUGUAUCUAGAACUAAAAUACAUCUAGAUACAUCUCCUUUUAUCCAUUUUGAUGACAAGUAUUUCCGGACGGAUGGAGUAUUUA